UAUAAUGGAUCUAUUUACCUCCCUGCUUGCAUUUCAUUCCCUUGUACGCACGAACCCGCCGCCAUUUCGGCAGCCGAACACGUGGCAGCCACCAUCUGAAAUCCGCGAACAGCGGUGUUUGGCCGUCGAGUGUCUGGAACUGAAAACGGACACUCGACUAGCCGAACACCGCUAAGACCUCCAGGGCUUCAGAAGGCAUGGAUGGAAACCC